rnacentral:lncRNA from 1 species
GGGUAUUUUUGAAAAGAAAAUAGGAAACCGGGGGUCAAAACGCAAUUUAGAAAAAUUGUGCCCCGUCAGCGCCACGUCAGCAGCCACGUCAGCGGCCCAGUCAGCAACCAUGGCCAACCAGGACAUGCUGCGUGGCAAGACCACGUCGACCGGGGAACGGGCCACGUGGACGAUCCGCGUGCGCGCGAUCGGACGGCCCAGAUGCGUCCCCGCGCGCACGGACGGCCCAGAUCAAGCGUGCGCACGGACGGCCCAGAUUUAAUCAAAACGGACGGCUGUGAUCAAAAGGCAAAAGGGUAUAAAUAGAACCCCCACACCUGACCACAAAAACCCUAGCCGCCUGCCCUCGCCGGAGAAGACGAACCAGAUGCUGGAGGAGCCUGCCGCCGCCGCCCGCCGCCGCACCGGGGAGUUUUCCGACCGCCGAUCGAGGUAAAUUUCAUACCUCCGACUCGUUUUUCCACGCUGAGUUCUCCUGUGGCCAAAUCAGAGCCAAAGUCCCGGCCAAACGGUCAGAAAACACGGCCUAAACCCAGCGGCGCCGCCGCGCCCCUCCUCGGUUUUUGCCUCUGAUGAGGCCCUUCCCGGCCUCUGUUUGAUACAAUUUUUAUAUCACCGUGAUCACCAUUCUUUUCUCUACAGGUUGAUCAGAGCCGAAUCACCAAAACACGAACCUCAUCGGAGAGCCGCUGCACCCGAG